rnacentral:rRNA from 1 species
GAUGAACGCUGGCGGCGUGCCUAAUACAUGCAAGUCGAGCGAACGGACGAGAAGCUUGCUUCUCUGAUGUUAGCGGCGGACGGGUGAGUAACACGUGGAUAACCUACCUAUAAGACUGGGAUAACUUCGGGAAACCGGAGCUAAUACCGGAUAAUAUUUUGAACCGCAUGGUUCAAAAGUAAAAGACGGUCUUGCUGUCACUUAUAGAUGGAUCCGCGCUGCAUUAGCUAGUUGGUAAGGUAACGGCUUACCAAGGCAACGAUGCAUAGCCGACCUGAGAGGGUGAUCGGCCACACUGGAACUGAGACACGGUCCAGACUCCUACGGGAGGCAGCAGUAGGGAAUCUUCCGCAAUGGGCGAAAGCCUGACGGAGCAACGCCGCGUGAGUGAUGAAGGUCUUCGGAUCGUAAAACUCUGUUAUUAGGGAAGAACAUAUGUGUAAGUAACUGUGCACAUCUUGACGGUACCUAAUCAGAAAGCCACGGCUAACUACGUGCCAGCAGCCGCGGUAAUACGUAGGUGGCAAGCGUUAUCCGGAAUUAUUGGGCGUAAAGCGCGCGUAGGCGGUUUUUUAAGUCUGAUGUGAAAGCCCACGGCUCAACCGUGGAGGGUCAUUGGAAACUGGAAAACUUGAGUGCAGAAGAGGAAAGUGGAAUUCCAUGUGUAGCGGUGAAAUGCGCAGAGAUAUGGAGGAACACCAGUGGCGAAGGCGACUUUCUGGUCUGUAACUGACGCUGAUGUGCGAAAGCGUGGGGAUCAAACAGGAUUAGAUACCCUGGUAGUCCACGCCGUAAACGAUGAGUGCUAAGUGUUAGGGGGUUUCCGCCCCUUAGUGCUGCAGCUAACGCAUUAAGCACUCCGCCUGGGGAGUACGACCGCAAGGUUGAAACUCAAAGGAAUUGACGGGGACCCGCACAAGCGGUGGAGCAUGUGGUUUAAUUCGAAGCAACGCGAAGAACCUUACCAAAUCUUGACAUCCUUUGACAACUCUAGAGAUAGAGCCUUCCCCUUCGGGGGACAAAGUGACAGGUGGUGCAUGGUUGUCGUCGGCUCGUGUCGUGAGAUGUUGGGUUAAGUCCCGCAACGAGCGCAACCCUUAAGCUUAGUUGCCAUCAUUAAGUUGGGCACUCUAAGUUGACUGCCGGUGACAAACCGGAGGAAGGUGGGGAUGACGUCAAAUCCUCAUGCCCCUUAUGAUUUGGGCUACACACGUGCUACAAUGGACAAUACAAAGGGCAGCGAAACCGCGAGGUCAAGCAAAUCCCAUAAAGUUGUUCUCAGUUCGGAUUGUAGUCUGCAACUCGACUACAUGAAGCUGGAAUCGCUAGUAAUCGUAGAUCAGCAUGCUACGGUGAAUACGUUCCCGGGUCU